AUACGUAGGGGGCGAGCGUUGUCCGGAAUGAUUGGGCGUAAAGGGCGCGUAGGCGGCCUGUUAAGUCUGGAGUGAAAGUCCUGUUUUCAAGAUGGGAAUUGCUUUGGAUACUGAUGGGCUUGAGUGCAGGAGAGGUUAUCGGAAUUCCCGGUGUAGCGGUGAAAUGCGUAGAGAUCGGGAGGAACACCAGUGGCGAAGGCGGGUAACUGGACUGCAACUGACGCUGAGGCGCGAAAGUGUGGGGAGCAAACAGGAUUAGAUACCCAGGUAGUCCACACUGUAAACGAUGAAUGCUAGGUGUAAGAGGUAUCGACCCCUUUUGUGCCGGAGUCAACACAAUAAGCAUUCCGCCUGGGGAGUACGGCCGCAAGGUUGAAACUCAAAUGAAUUGACGGGG
rnacentral:rRNA from 1 species